AACGAACGCUGGCGGCAGGCCUAACACAUGCAAGUCGAGCGCGCCCUUCGGGGUGAGCGGCGGACGGGUGAGUAACGCGUGGGAACGUGCCCUUUUCUACGGAAUAGCCUCGGGAAACUGAGAGUAAUACCGUAUACGCCCUUUGGGGGAAAGAUUUAUCGGAAAAGGAUCGGCCCGCGUUGGAUUAGGUAGUUGGUGGGGUAAUGGCCUACCAAGCCGACGAUCCAUAGCUGGUUUGAGAGGAUGAUCAGCCACACUGGGACUGAGACACGGCCCAGACUCCUACGGGAGGCAGCAGUGGGGAAUCUUAGACAAUGGGGGCAACCCUGAUCUAGCCAUGCCGCGUGAGUGAUGAAGGCCUUAGGGUUCUAAAGCUCUUUCAGCUGGGAAGAUAAUGACGGUACCAGCAGAAGAAGCCCCGGCUAACUCCGC
rnacentral:rRNA from 1 species